rnacentral:lncRNA from 10 species
GCAAUCCUAUUUAUAGGUAUAGAAAUGAAAACAAGCUGGGACUGGGCCUGGUAGUGCAUGCCUAUAAUAACAGCACUUUGGGAGGCCAAGGCAGGAGGAUUACUUCAGGCCAGGAGUUUGAGGUUGGCAGGCAGAUCACCUGAGGUCAGGAGUUUCAGACCAGCUGGACAACAUGGUGAAACUCUGUCUAGUUUGUGUUGCUAUAAAUACCUGAGAUCGGGUGAUUUAUAAAGAAAAGGGGUCUAUUUGGUUCACAGUUCUACAAGCUGUAUAAUAAGCAUGGCAUGAGCAUCUGCUUCUGCGGAAGCCUCAGGCUGCUUCCACUCAAGCAGAAGGCAAAAGGAAGCUGGUAUGUGCAGAGGUCACAUGGUGAGGGGGGACGCAAAAGGAGAGAGGGGGAGCUGCCAGCCUCUUUUUAACAACCAACUUUCUCAGAAGCUA